GACGGACCGUACGAACGUUAUUCGGAAUUACUGGGCUCAAAGGGUGCGUAGGCGGCUCAGAAAGUUGAAUGUGAAAGCCCUCGGCUUAACCGAGGAAUUGCAUCCAAAACUACUGGGCUUGAGUGAGACAGAGGUGAGCGGAACUCACGGUGGAGCGGUGAAAUGCGUUGAUAUCGUGAGGAACACCGGUGGCGAAAGCGGCUCACUGGGUCUUUGCUGACGCUGAGGCACGAAAGCUAGGGUAGCGAACGGG
rnacentral:rRNA from 1 species